ACCUGAAUAGGACGCAAACCACCUUAGCCAAGUUUCAAAAUAAGUUUGGACCCAAACCAAAUGUAUAAUUCCCCUUGAUUUUUUCGAGUGUAUUUGUUUACCUCCUACAUACUCACUGUUGAAUCGGUUUAGCCGGUUUAGCUGUUUAGUAUAGAUCUGAGAUAUUGUCUCGCGCCUUUUGCAGUCGCCAAUUUUCUACUCCCGAAUUCAGAUUGGAAAAGCAGCUGAGAAAUUAUUUAUCUCGAAAAUUGUUCAUGCUCAGUGGUUGCGUGGUAACCAGUUUAUUUAGUAAGAACUGUUAAAAAUAAUUACGGGAUUCGACGGAUUCGACUCGUGCGUUUUGGCGGAGGCGGCAAUGGCAGUGUAAGUGGUCAGCGGAAAAAGAUCGAUGGCGUUGCGGCACGUGGAAAAAUUAUACCGUGAACCCGGCCACCAGCAAGGAAGAUGUCAUUGCCCUCGAAAGGUUCCUUGAAAAUAAGAGCUCCUUGUCAAUUGCUACGGUACGAGACUGCUUUGUCUAGUCGUUUUCAGUUCCGGUACCAGCAUAAAUAGUAGUGGAAGCCUGAGCCGCCUUCAGUGGCGUCAUCCUCUUCGUCGAUUUCUUCAUAUCAUCAUUUCCGGGUGUACCUUGAAAGCCGGCGGAGAUAGGGCGAACUGAGUUCCAUACAGGCUGUGAUACAGUUAUAAACCGUUCGGCAAGAAAACAGCUGGUGCUAUGUAAAAUGUACUCCACCUUCGGUAAGGAAUAUAUCAGCAGAAAAGGACGGUUAGGAAAGUUCCGAUCAAUGCUUGCCGAUUGACGUGAAUGUCUGACAACACGGUUCUGAGCAGCGUAACAUGGGACUAUAGCAUAUAUAUUUAUGAAGCUGUCGGUCAGGAUUACUUGGAUUCGGACAGAAUGCGAUUCUCCACCUUGCUUUCUGAUAUGCAUUACAUAUAAUCGGACUAGCGCUUCUUGCUUCCAAUGGGGCCAGACAACAAUUACGCUGGAGUUCGGUCGCAGUCUUGAGGCAACGGACAGUGUCAUAGUGAGGCAUAGUGGAACUAUUUGAUUUGAACCAGAGCCAUGCACAAUAAGAACAUUCUAAAUCUGAAGCUCACUUUAAUCAAGAUUGUCGAAUAGAUACGGAUUAUAAAAACCAUACAGCGGUCGAGAUUUCAUGAUUGCACGAUUGAAUCAUAGAUUCGGAUAUAUGUGCAAGAAUAGUAAUGUAUAGUUGAGUUCAUGGUAAAAUCAGCAGCUCACAGUUUCAAAUAUGGGUACUUACAAGAUAUUGGUGUUAUGGUCCUGUAGGUAUCCGUCAUGUAAGUAUGUAAAAAAUCAUAAAAUCUAGAAGCAACCCUCAAAUUUGAUCAGCAUUAGUACUGAAAUCUAGUAGAGUAAAACCUGUAAGUUUCUAUGUCAUAGCUUCUGUCCCAGUAGGGAUUCUUAGGGAGUUCAGAAAGGAUUCCUUUAGAAAUUUGAUAGCGAUUCCUUCGAGAAUCCAGCAGAGGUUCAUUCAGGAAUCCGGUAGAGAUUCCCUUAGAAAUUCAAUAGCGAUUCCUUUUGUAACCCAAAAGAAUUCCUUUGAGACUCCAAAAAGAGUUUCUUGAAGAUUCCAGUAAUAUUCCUUCGGCAAACCAAAUGAAAUGCACCAGGGAUUCCUUCUGGAAUUCAACAGCGAUUCUUUCUAGAAGGGAGUUCUUUGGGAAUCUGAAAGAGAUUCUUUUGAGAAACCAAAUGAGAUUCCUUUAGAGCUCCAGCAAAAGGGAGCCAAUUCUUUAAGAAUCCAGAAAGAAUUAUAUCGAGAUUUAUUUAAAAAUGCAAUAGGGAUUCCUUAGGAAGUGCCAUUGAGUUUUCUUGGGGAAUGCGAUGGAGAUUCUUUUUGGAAUAUGAUAGAGAUUCCUUCAGGAACGCGAUACACAUUGUGGAUAUUCAUUUGGGAAUAUAAUUUAGAUUGUUUCGGGAAUGCGAUCAAGAUUCCAUCGUGAAUGCAAUAAAGACU